CACCUCAUUCAUCCUACUACAGAAUUAACUCUCUGUGUUAUUUCAAGGCGGGCCUUGACAGGAUGGCGGAAGGACACAUGCUUGCGGACGUGGGGUGGCAAUAAUUGGCACCCAGGACGUGGUGUUUGGGGAGGUGGAUCGCUAGCGCACACUCCAGAAGCCCAGCUGCGCAACCGUCUCUCGCUCCCCCGUAGGGCAGACGGGGCUAUUCCCCUCCCUGCCACCCUUUGCUCCGUGUGUAUGUUCCUCAAUGUAACAUUGGAUUAAUAAAUGGAAUUGCUCAA